rnacentral:misc_RNA from 1 species
GUGAAUCAUCGAAUCUUUGAACGCACAUUGCGCCCCUUGGUAUUCCGAGGGGCAUGCCCGUUCGAGCGUCAUUAUAACCCCUCAAGCCUAGCUUGGUGUUGGGGCCUGCUGUUACCGGCAGCCCUUAAAAUCAGUGGCGGUGCCAUCUGGCUCUAAGCGUAGUAAUACUUCUCGCUACAGGGUCCCGGUGGACGCUUGCCAUCAACCCCUAAUUUUCUAUGGUUGACCUCGGAUCGGGUAGGGAUACCCGCUGAACUUAAGCAUAUCAAUAAGCGGAGGA